GCCAGGUGUGGUGGCUCACACCUGUAAUCCCAGUACACUGGGGGGCUGAGGUGGGAGAAUCAAUUGGGCCCAGGAGUUUUGAGACCAGCCUGGGCAAUAUGGUGAGACCCCAUCUCUA
rnacentral:sRNA from 1 species